rnacentral:rRNA from 1 species
AUUGAACGCUGGCGGAAUGCUUUACACAUGCAAGUCGAACGGUAGAGGGGGCAACCCCUCGAGAGUGGCGAACGGGUGAGUAAUAUAUCGGAACGUGCCCAGUCGUGGGGGAUAACGUAGCGAAAGUUACGCUAAUACCGCAUACGAUCUAAGGAUGAAAGCGGGGGAUCGCAAGACCUCGCGCGAUUGGAGCGGCCGAUAUCAGAUUAGGUAGUUGGUGGGGUAAAGGCUCGCAAAGCCAACGAUCUGUGGCUGGUCUGAGAGGACGACCAGCCACACUGGAACUGAGACACGGUCCAGACUACUACGGGAGGCAGCAGUGGGGAAUUUUGGACGAUGGACGCAAGUCUGAUCCAGCCAUUCCGCGUGCAGGAUGAAGGCCCUCGGAUUGUAAACUGCUUUUGUACGGAACGAAAAGGUCUCUCUUAAUACGGGGGGCUCAUGACGGUACCGUAAGAAUAAGCACCGGCUAACUACGUGCCAGCCGCCGCCGUAA